rnacentral:pre_miRNA from 1 species
AGUGGGAUAACUGGGUUGAAUGAUGGUUCCAUUCCAAGUUUUCUGAGGAAUCUCCAUACUGCUUUCCAGAGUGGUUGCACCAAUUUGCAGUCCCACCAGCAAU